CAGCGUGUAGCUCAGUAGCAGAGCACCGGGCUUGCAUCCCGGAGGGCGCGGGGGCGGAGCCCGCCACGCUGG
rnacentral:tRNA from 1 species